CCUACGGGAGGCAGCAGUGAGGAAUAUUGGUCAAUGGACGAGAGUCUGAACCAGCCACGUAGCGUGAAGGAUGACUGCCCUAUGGGUUGUAAACUUCUUUUAUAUGGGAAUAAAAUGUUCCACGUGUGGGAUUUUGUAUGUACCAUAUGGAUAAGGAUCGGCUAACUACGUGCCAGCAGCCGCGGUAAUACGGAGGAUCCGAGCGUUAUCCGGAUUUAUUGGGUUUAAAGGGAGCGUAGGUGGAUUGUUAAGUCAGUUGUGAAAGUUUGCGGCUCAACCGUAAAAUUGCAGUUGAAACUGGCGGUCUUGAGUGCAGAAGAGGUGGGCGGAAUUCGUGGUGUAGCGGUGAAAUGCUUAGAUAUCACGAAGAACUCCGAUUGCGAAGGCAGCUCACUGGACUGCAACUGACACUGAGGCUCGAAAGUGUGGGUAUCAAACAGGAUUAGAUACCCGUGUAGUC
rnacentral:rRNA from 1 species